CCUGCUCCCCCUGUAACCCUCAUGUCCGCUCUUCCGCAUUAAACUCCGUCAUCCUCACGCCCGCGUCUCCCUGGCCUGUAUCUGCCGCCCACGGCGCCGGGUUCGAGGAGCACGGGGCCCGCCCGCGGGCUCUGCGGCGUGUCGGUGUGUUCGCGUGGAACACGCCAGGACCCCUCCUCUGUGGGCGCCUCUCACCCGGACACCCCCCCCCCAGUCGGGCUGUCUGCCGGCACCCCAGAGCCACUCUGAAAACCGGGGCAGGAGACAGAAGGCCGGGGGCCGUAGAGAGUUGUUUAUUUACCAGUUUUUUCAUGCUCGUAGGGGGAUGAAACCCGGCCGUGUUAGAAAAUCGAUUCUACACUUUUCCAGCAGGGGAUAUUGAAAACCUGUGCCCACCAGGUGGGAGAGAGGGAGUGAAGGAGAGAGAUGAGAGAGAGAGAAGGAGGGAGAGGGAGGGAGAGAGUGAGAUGAGGGAGAGAGGGAGUGAGAAGGGAGACGAGGGAGACAAGGGAGGGAGUGAGACGAGGGAGAGAGGGAGACAGGACAGGAUGUUACAGCUGUGCUCGAUGGGAAAGACGUCAAUGGGGAAAUUCAAGGUCUUAACUGCCGGGGCAGUACACGUACGAUACCGACCCUCGCUCACUACAACAGCAGGCGAGAAGCGACUCUUUCAAACAGGCAGGCUUGGCUUUUCUCAUCUGCUGGCAGGUGGCAGGAGGGAGGAGCACCCCCUGGUGUUGACACACACCUACACCUCACUGCACACGCACUCAUCGCCCACUUGGAUCCCAGUGGCGCCGUCACUCAACUGACAGACCACCAGUUCCAGUCCGAGUCCGGGGGGGGGCGGGUUUCAAGUCCCACCCUGUGCCAACACGUGCCAGGGAACAAGGGGGAACCACCUGGUUGGCGUCCGAGCCCAGCAGGCGACCGCCAUCACAUCCCGCGCGCGGGCUCGGGGUCACGGAGGCGGAACGUGGCGAUGACAUCACUCUUCUGCCCUGCCGGUUCAAACCCCGCCUCCCUGGCGAUGUCAGCCACCCGCUCGGCGAAUCCCGUCUCCUGCUCCCUGGACAGGUCCAAUAUGUACCUGAGACGGGGGGGGGGAGGGUUAGACCAUACAGCUGAAGUGACAGAGCUUGCUUGACUGAGCGACUGCAACUAUUCUUCUGCAGGGAGCACUGCUCAACGUCCGCUCACUGACUGCCACAACACGGAGACCGAACCCAUCCUCCCGUUUCAUUCCCAGUUCGUCCAAUCCAGGGUCCCGUCCCAGCGCGAGGGGGGUACACCCUGGACAGGACGCUAGCCGGUCUCGG
rnacentral:lncRNA from 1 species